rnacentral:lncRNA from 1 species
AUGAGGAUGGGAAUGCACUUUCCCAUGUUUGGUAGAAGGUAAAAGAAAAAUAUACCUGGGAACAAAUUAUACCCAGGAAAAUUUUUAACCCAUGAUCUCCCUAUUUUUAUUCCCAUGAAAAAGGAGUUGGAAUGUUUUAUUCCUAGGAAUGACAUUUGCCUUGCUACAUGAAAACCCCACUACCACCAUGUUUUUUCAACUGCCAAUUAAUUUCUAUUUUUUUCUUUUACAUGCUCUACAUCAAGACAUUGUUAUAAUGUAUGUUAUUAUAUGUAAUUCAUCUAUUAUUUCUUUAUGUUCUUUUUGGUUUGUGCAAAAAAAUAUUUAUGUGUCU